UACCCUUGACAUGUCUGGAAUCUCGCAGAGAUGUGAGAGUGCCCGAAAGGGAGCCAGAACACAGGUGCUGCAUGGCUGUCGUCAGCUCGUGUCGUGAGAUGUUGGGUUUAAGUCCCGCAACGAGCGCAACCCUUGUCAUUAGUUGCUACGAAAGGGCACUCUAAUGAGACUGCCGGUGACAAACCGGAGGAAGGUGGGGAUGACGUCAAGUCCUCAUGGCCCUUAUGGGUAGGG
rnacentral:rRNA from 1 species